GUGUAUGGUGUACCUCUGGUGUACCAGUUGUCGUGCCAACGGCAUAGCUGGGUAGCUAUGUAUGGACGGGAUAAGUGCUGAAAGCAUCUAAGCAUGAAGCCCCCCUCAAGAUGAGAUUUCCCAACUUCGGUUAUAAGAUCCCUCGAAGAUGACGAGGUUAAUAGGUUCGAGGUGGAAGCGUGGCGACACGUGGAGCUGACGAAUACUAAUCGAUCGAAGACUUAAUCAA
rnacentral:rRNA from 1 species